rnacentral:rRNA from 1 species
GAUGAACGCUGGCGGCGUGCCUAAUACAUGCAAGUCGAGCGAACAGACGAGGAGCUUGCUCCUCUGACGUUAGCGGCGGACGGGUGAGUAACACGUGGAUAACCUACCUAUAAGACUGGGAUAACUUCGGGAAACCGGAGCUAAUACCGGAUAAUAUAUUGAACCGCAUGGUUCAAUAGUGAAAGACGGUCUUGCUGUCACUCAUACAUGGAUCCGCGCCGCAUUAGCUAGUUGGUAAGGUAACGGCUUACCAAGGCAACGAUGCGUAGCCGACCUGAGAGGGUGAUCGGCCACACUGGAACUGAGACACGGUCCAGACUCCUACGGGAGGCAGCAGUAGGGAAUCUUCCGCAAUGGGCGAAAGCCUGACGGAGCAACGCCGCGUGAAUGAUGAAGGUCUUCGGAUCGUAAAACUCUGUUAUUAGGGAAGAACAAAUGUGUAAGUAACUAUGCACGUCUUGACGGUACCUAAUCAGAAAGCCACGGCUAACUACGUG